AGUGGCGGACGGGUGAGUAAUGUCUGGGAAACUGCCUGAUGGAGGGGGAUAACUACUGGAAACGGUAGCUAAUACCGCAUAACGUCGCAAGACCAAAGAGGGGGACCUUCGGGCCUCUUGCCAUCGGAUGUGCCCAGAUGGGAUUAGCUAGUAGGUGGGGUAACGGCUCACUCACCUAAGCGACGAUCCCUAGCUGGUCUGAGAGGAUGACCAGCCACACUGGAACUGAGACACGGUCCAGACUCCUACGGGAGGCAGCAGUGGGGAAUAUUGCACAACGGGCGCAAGCCUGAUGCAGCCAUGCCGCGUGUAUGAAGAAGGCCUUCGGGUUGUAAAGUACUUUCAGCGGGGAGGAAGGGAGUAAAGUUAAUACCUUUACUCAUUGACGUUACCCGCAGAAGAAGCACCGGCUAACUCCGUGCCAGCAGCCGCGGUAAUACGGAGGGUGCAAGCGUUAAUCGGAAUUACUGGGUUAAAGCGCACGCAGGCGGUUUGUUAAGUCAGAUGUUAAAUCCCCGGGCUCAACCUGGGAACUCCCCUUGAUACUGCUCCGCUUGACCCCCCCACAGAGA
rnacentral:rRNA from 1 species